CCCUUAGAUGUUCUGGGCCGCACGCGCGCUACACUGAUACGUUCAACAAGUUCCUUGGCCGAAAGGUCUGGGUAAUCUUUGAAACCGUAUCGUGAUGGGGAUAGAACAUUGCAAUUAUUGUUCUUCAACGAGGAAUGCCUAGUAAGCGCGAGUCAUCAACUCGCGUUGAUUACGUCCCUGCCCUUUGUACACACCGCCCGUCGCUCCUACCGAUUGAACGUGCUGGUGAAGCGUUAGGACUGGCGCCGCGUGUCGGGUUCCCCUUCAACGGGGCGCCGGGAAUUUCGUUGAACCCUNCNGUUUAGNGGAAGGAGAANUCGUANCA
rnacentral:rRNA from 1 species